ACGUGAAACCCUGUGGGAAGCAGGAGGGACCACCCUCCAAGGCUAAAUACUACCUAGUGACCGAUAGCGUAUAGUACCGUGAGGGAAAGGUGAAAAGAACCCCGGGAGGGGAGUGAAAUAGAACCUGAAACCCUGCACUUACAAGCUGUGGAAGCACAUUUCUUGUGUGACCGCGUACUUUUUGUAGAACGGGCCAACGAGUUACGUUAAGUAGCAAGGUUAAGCACUUAAGGUGCGGAGCCGUAGCGAAAGCGAGUUUUAACUGAGCGUUCAGUUACUUGACGUAGACCCGAAACCGGGCGACCUACCCAUGAGCAGGAUGAAGCGAAAGUAAAAUUUCGUGGAGGUCCGAACCCACGAGCGUUGAAAAGCUCGGGGAUGACUUGUGGGUAGCGGUGAAAUUCCAAUCGAGCCCGGAGAUAGCUGGUUCUCCCCGAAAUAGCUUUAGGGCUAGCCUCAAGGUGAGAGAUACGGAGGUAGAGCACUGAAUGUCCUAGGGGGUAUUGCACCUACCGAAGACUAUCAAACUCCGAAUGCCGUCAUCUUAUACUUGGGAGUCAGACUGUGGGUGAUAAGAUUCAUAGUCGAAAGGGCAACAGCCCAGAUCGUCAGCUAAGGUCCCUAAAUGUAAGUUAAGUGGUAAAGGAUGUGGGAUUGCACAGACAACCAGGAUGUUGGCUUAGAAGCAGCCACUCAUUCAAAGAGUGCGUAAUAGCUCACUGGUCGAGUGAUCCUGCGCCGAAGAUUUCCGGGGCUAAAACUUACUACCGAAGCUACGGCAUCAGUAAUGAUGGGUAGGGGAGCUUCCCAUACGGGUUGAAGCAUGACCGUAAGGACAUGUGGACAGUAUGGGAGUGAGAAUGUUGGCAUGAGUAGCGAGAUGUGGGUGAGAAUCCCACAGGCCGUAAACCCAAGGUUUCCAGGGGAAGGUUCGUCCGCCCUGGGUUAGUCGGGACCUAAGCUGAGGCCGAAAGGCGUAGGUGAUGGACAACAGGUUGAUAUUCCUGUACUACCGAUAACCGUUUGAGAGAUGGGAUGACACAGUAGGAUAAGCUAAGCACACUGUUGGUUAUGUGUGCCCAAGCAUUGAGGCAGUCAAAGUAGGCAAAUCCGCUUUGAUAAUGCUGGGAUGUGAUGGGGAGCGAAAUUUAGUAGCGAAGUAGCUGAUUUCACACUGUCAAGAAAAGUCUCUAUCGAGGUUAAAGGUACCCGUACCGCAAACCGACACAGGUGGGUGAGGAGAGUAUCCUAAGGCCAGCGAGAGAACUGUUGUUAAGGAACUCGGCAAAAUGACCCCGUAACUUAGGGAUAAGGGGUGCCACCAUCAGGUGGCCGCAGAGAAUAGGCCCAAGCGACUGUUUACCAAAAACAUAGGUUUCUGCUAAGUCGCAAGACGAUGUAUAGGAGCUGACGCCUGCCCGGUGCUGGAAGGUUAAGGGGAUCUGUUAGAGCAAUCGAAGCAGUGAACUUAAGCCCCAGUAAACGGCGGCCGUAACUAUAACGGUCCUAAGGUAGCGAAAUUCCUUGUCGGGUAAGUUCCGACCCGCACGAAAGGCGUAACGAUUUGGGCACUGUCUCAACAACAGACUCGGUGAAAUUGUAAUUCCGGUGAAGAUGCCGGAUACCUGCGACAGGACGGAAAGACCCCAUGGAGCUUUACUGUAGCUUGACAUUGGGUCUUGGUACUACAUGUACAGGAUAGGUGGGAGGCUUUGAAACCAGGACGCCAGUUUUGGCGGAGCCAUCCUUGGGAUACCACCCUUGUAGUACUGGGACUCUAACCAUAGGCCAUGAAUCUGGUCUUGGGACACUGUCAGGUGGGCAGUUUGACUGGGGCGGUCGCCUCCCAAAAGGUAACGGAGGCGCUCAAAGGUUCUCUCAGUACGGUCGGAAAUCGUACGUAGAGUGUAAAGGCAAAAGAGAGCUUGAUUGCAAGACAUACAGGUCGAGCAAGGAUGAAAAUCGGACUUAGUGAUCCGGUGGUUCUGCGUGGAAGGGCCAUCGCUCAACGGAUAAAAGCUACCCUGGGGAUAACAGGCUUAUCUCCCCCAAGAGUCCACAUCGACGGGGAGGUUUGGCACCUCGAUGUCGGCUCAUCACAUCCUGGGGCUGUAGUAGGUCCCAAGGGUUGGGCUGUUCGCCCAUUAAAGUGGUACGCGAGCUGGGUUCAGAACGUCGUGAGACAGUUCGGUCCCUAUCCGUCGCAGGCGUAGGAAAUUUGAGAAGACCUGUCCUUAGUACGAGAGGACCGGGAUGGACG
rnacentral:rRNA from 1 species